CUAGAACAUUAAAAUUCUGAAGCAUAAAUAAACCUAAUGCAGGGAGAGGGGGAAAAACCCAGACAAUACAAUCUUUCAUACUCCAUUAAUAUCACAUUCACUCACACUACAUGUAACGUAAGAGUAGUCUAAUGUAUCCAACUCCACAAAGCAACAGGCCAUUGUGUCAUACUCUGCUGAAUGCAUCCUAUCACUUUGACACAUAUACACCUCCAGCAUGUGUUUUUGGAGCUAGCCUUUUAAAUGCAGCAGAACAAAGUAGCUGCAAUGCUACAGUAGCCAUCUUGCAAUGGGUAGCUGCAAUUUUCUCUUUUCCAGAAAAAAGUAAGGAGUGAACUGCAGUUGUAAAGAUGUUUUCAAUAUUUAAACUAAGAGGAAAUCCAACUAUUUGUACCACAAACUACAAGUGCUCCAUAGAUGUGAUUUUUUUCAAUGUGGUCUUUGAUAUAUUGUUUGUUCUAAAAAUAUAGCUUUACAAGCUUUAUUUCUUCAUAUAAAAUGUAAUGAGAAAUGAUACUUUGUCCUUCUAACUUUCCUCCUUGUGUAUUUAUGUUUGUUUUGGAACAAAUUUUUUUACCACACUUGCACUCCCAAUCUGAAUCAGAAAGAAUUAGAAUUCCACAACUAAUGUCAAAGACGAAUGAUUGUAAAUCAAUAGAGCAGUGCAUAGCAGUACUAAUAAGCGUUACCUGUUGAAAUAAAAGGGCUACUUAUCUUGA